ensembl:lncRNA
CCCCGCUGGACGUGCCGGGGAGCUCUUCUGCGUCUGGACCCGCAGAGCUGCUGGAAGGCGCAGCGCUGGCGACAACGGUACCCUGCGGGGAGGCGGCGGGACCGGACGGGGCCGCGGGGCCGUCAUCCUGCGCCUGGGCAGCGCUGGGAUCUUCGAGGCCCAGCAGCCUCCGGGCCCGCUGGCCGCACCGACUCUCGAUGGUUCUGACGAGGGCGUCGAUGAGCGGUGCGCUGAUGGGUCCCAGGGCGUGCUCUGUGCACUGGACCAGGGUGUCCCUGUCUGUGGCCCCACCUGGCACAGGAAUGCCAGGCUCAUGCUUUUCAGAAAGUUGAUCCAGUGCAGCGUAAUUCCUGCUCCAGCCAGGGCAGCACCAGGUCGAGGAUGUCUCAUCCGAUCCUGAAAAGUGCUGCCCAAACCUUUGGCAGGAGGCCGCCCACUCUCUCCUGCUCUUUGGCCAUCUGCUCAGGGGACGGUGGAGGGGGUCUCCCCGCACGGGGACCCGGAUGUUCUGCAUGGCCCUACUGCACAGCAGGCAGCUGUCUCUCAGCCUUGCCCACUGAUGAAUGCAGGCAGUGCAGAACAUGUGAUUACACAGAAUCACGUAGGCACUGUCCUGUUGCACAUCACUGCAGAUGGAACAUUUCCAUGCCUCUUCUGUGGCCAUGGUCUUCUCACUGCAGCAGGCUGGGAGAACUGAGGAUGACAAGUUGUUCUCCUUCUCUGGAGAUGCGGUGGUGGUGUCUCACUGUGAAGAGGAACGGAGGUCACAGUCACUCGCUGUCCCAGGGUGUGAAAAUCCUCAGCAGAUCCCUCCCAGGCCCAUUACUGGGCCAUCUCGUGCUUCCCACUGGCACAGGGCCAGGCACUGCACAGUUGCCCUGAGGGACCCAGGUGUCCCUGCACCACUCACCUCCGCUGCUGCGGGUGUGCUCAGUAGGGUCCCGGCUGCCUGCACAAGGCAGGGCUGGGAAACAGAAGUGAUACUGCAGUGUAAGGCACUGAGAUGCUGCGAGCAGCCCCAGGCUCGACCCAGCACAGCCAAAACCUUGCUCAACCUCCAAGCCUCGCAGAGCUGCUCAGCAGGGUCCAGAAACAAGCCAGACUGAGCCAGGCUCUGCCAGCACCCCACUAUGAGCAGUGAGGGCUAUGCAGUCACAGUCCGUCACCCGGUGAUGUCAUAGCCUGUUGCUCGGGGACAUCGCCAUGGGCUGUCCACCUCCACAGCACCCAUCCCUGAAUUUUAAGUUUAUAUUCACAGUUUCAAUAACUACUGAAGUUUUAGGCAUGGAGAGCAAUAGACUUGUGAUACAAAGAAGGAUUCUUUGAUCUUAAAAAUAUGAUCAUGUACAGAAAAUGUUACAGUGUUCAGGAGCCUGCUUACGGGUUUUGGAAACUUCAGUGGAUCACAUACAGAAAGUCAAAAUAUUAAAACAUGGUUCUCAGAUAUCAAUGUGCAUCGGUCAGUACAGUCUUUAGAAACACUCAGAGGAAUAUCAGUAGUGAAUCUGUGUAGAAAAAUAAGGUCUAUUGUUAAAUGUUAGGGAAAAAAAACCAACCAAAACCUGAAUGAUCUGAACCUACUGGUGCAGAGAGGGAUUGAGGAAGACACUGUACAGAAACAAUCCCUUUUGCCAUUUCACCACCUAUAUAUUUUCCGAGCAAGCAUUAGUUUCUCUGUAUUGUGAGAACUCCAUCGGCACAGCCUGCAUGACAUUGAAUACAGCUCCAGGUUUUUUUUUGUUUUGUUUUUGUUUUUUUGGUUUUUUUUGCUAUAUUUUUCAGCUUUAUUUCAAGGAUUUAAGUUGAACAGUACUCUUUGCCACCAUUUUGGUUUUAUUUUUUCUUUUAUGGAUUACUCACUGUUUCCUAGGCUGUGAACCUUUAACCUCAUCAGUUUCUUCCAGUUACUAUACCAGCUAGAACAAAACAGUUUAUUUUUGUUUCAAGCACUGUGCAAUUAUCAUCUGCAAGCAUGCAUGUGAACACAAGCAAGCCACACAAAGGAAUAAAUAAGCCAUUUAUUAUAUACAGUAACAGUCUGAUUUAUCAAAAGCACGUGCACUGGCUAUGUUACAGAUAUAUGAAGCAGAAAGCUUGAGCAGAACUUCCUUGAGAAUCACAGAAUCACGGAACUGUAGGGGCUGGAAGGGACCUCUAGAGAUCAUUGAGUCCAAUCCCACUGCAAAGCAGGCUCCCUGCAGAAGGCUGCACAGGUUGGUGCCCAGGCAGGUCUUGAAUAUCUACAGAGAGGAGGGUCCAUAACCUCCAUGGGCAGCCUUUUCCAGUGCUGUCACCCUCACUGUGGAGAAGCUCCUUUGCAUAUUUGUGCAGAACUUUCUAUGGUUCAGUUUAUGGCCAUUUCCCCUUGUCCUGUCCCCACAGACCAAUCCAAAAGAAGAUCCAUAAGAAGUUCCAAAAGAAGUUGGCCAUAGCCCUUUGACUCCCACACUUAAGAUAUUUAUAAACAUUAAUCAUAUCCCCUCUGAGUCUUCUUUUCUCAAGGCUGAACAGACCCAGUUCUCCCAGCCUUUCCUCAUACGGGAGAUGCUCGAGGCCCUUCAUCAUCUUUGUGGCCCCUUGCUAGACUCUCUCCAGGAGAUCCCUGUCUUUUUUGUACUGGGGAGCCCAGAACUGGAUACAGUACUCCAGGGCUACUGAAGAGCUUCUGGUAGCAGAGAACUGGCGUCACAACUGUCCUUAUAUCCUGGCAGUAUCAAGUUUGUUACAUGACUAGCACAUUCGUUCAGUCAUGUAAGACAAUAAGGAACUUAAUUCAUUUUAUAUGGGCUAGACUUCUUUCCCAUCUGAAUCUUGCUGAUACUCAAGGCAAAAUAUCACCAGCAAAUCAAAGGAGAUGAUCUUUACCAUCUACUCAGUGUUGAUGAGGCUGCACCUACAGUCCUGGUCCAGUACUGGGCUCCUCAAAGCAAGAGGGACAUUGGCUUUCUGGAACAAGUCCAGUGUAGACCCAUCAAGAUGCUUCAAGGCCUGGGGAACCUCUCCUUUGAGGAGUGGCUGAGAGAGCUGAGAGUUGGAACUGCUCCAUCUGGAGAAGAGGAGGUUCAAGGGGAUCUCAUCCAUGUCCAUAAAUACUUGAAGAGAGAGUGUAAAGAAGAUGGAGUCAGGCCCUUGUCAGUGAUGCCCAGUGUCUGGACAAAUGUGGUGGACACAAACACACAAACCCUAGAGGUUCCCUCUGCACAUCAGCAAGCACUUCUGUGCUGUGUGGAUGAUAGCCAGGGCACAGGUUGCUCAGAAAGGUGGUGGAGUCUUCUCCUUAGAGACCUGGUACCUGAAUGUAGUGUUAGAUCACAUGACCCCCAGAGGUCCCUUCUGACCUCAACCAUUCUGUGAUUAUGUUUCUGUGUUAUGUGGCUCAUGACUUAAUUUCCUGAUGUGUUAUGGGGCAGUGGGAGAUGUAUUAAAAAAGUAGCAAAACCAUGGCUAGGCACUAUAAAUUUUCAGACUGUUUCUGGAAUUUCUUGAUGUCCUGGACAAACUAGCAUCUAAAAAAUAAUUCCCAAGAUCAGUGAAAAAAAUUUCACAAGCUAGAGUGGACACUUGCAGAGCCUGCACUUGGCCAGUGCUAAGUAACACAUACACAGGCUGUUUCAUGUCCAGGAAAUCUUAACUGACUGAGAAAGAUAUAGCCAUAAUACUUCUUUCCUUUCUCUAUCUGGUUAUAAACACUAAAAUUUUAGACACUCAAUACCUCUGAGACUAUCUUCAUGUCAAAUGCAGUUGAAAUCCACAGUGUUUUUAAGAAAAUGCAAUUGGUUGAAGAGAUCCGCUUUUUUUUUUUUUUUUUUUUUGCAAGCACAGUAUAAACUGCAUUGUUGUAUUAGAAAUUAAACAUCGUAAAAUAUAACCCUGCCAAUUUCAGCUGACACACAGAAGUUAUUUGGUGUUUCUAUUUAUUUUCUAAGAAAACAAAACUGAUUUAGAAUAACAUAGUGUCAGGAAAAACAAACCGGUCUUACAGGGUUUGUAUAGAUGUUUACUGGAGCACAUUUUUAAGCAAUUAAGAUAUAAUAAAUGAAAAAAAAAAAGAGAGGAAAAAAAAAACAACCUUGAAAGUAUUUCUAAGAGCCUUUUUCCUGUGCCAAAUUUAUUUUACACAUUGCACUCUUCAAGUUUUUACUAGAGAUACACUCAACUGAACAAAAUCUGUCUUAAAAAUGUCUCUGUAAAGGGAUUCAUCCAGAAAGAAUCAGAAUUCCAACUUUAUAUAAUUGGUUUAAUAAGAUUUUGAACUUUAGGCUGCCACUGGCUUUUUCUCCAGCUUACAAUGUUAACGACUUUAUUAUGAUGGAUGAUGAACACACAUCUCUCUGAUAGUAUGUAUUAUUUGCUUAUGGCAAUCUUCAGGAAUAGCUCAUACUAACAUACAUACUUACUAGUCAAAAAUGAUGUUAUCAGAGGUCCCACUCAAUACGAAAAAUAAAUAAGCAAACAAAUGAACAACAAAUAUUCUAAAUAUAAGCCAAACAUUUUGUCUAUCAGGCUAGUUAUUAACUAGUGUGAUAACUUCACACAAACAAAAGAGGUGAGUUACAGACAUUAAUCAUAUCUUAUGAUUAAUAUACAAAUAUGACUGUACUAAGAUUAUCUCUGAUAACAGAAAUAAGUAAUAUUCAUUACUAACAUUUUGAGUUCACAAUUCAGUAUAAUCUUCCAUCCUUGUUAAACAAUAGAUUGUCAAAAUAAUGUAUCUUGUAAACUAGUGUUGUUGGCAUUGGUUCAUUGUUCAUGUAGACAUCAGUUACAGUAUACCAAAUUCUAGCCAUAGCCCAAUAUACUAAACAUAGCCAACUGCGUUUCUUUUCCUGAAUUGUUCAGUUUCUCUGCACAGUGCUUCCAACAGAUUGCUAUAAUUUAAUAUUCAUAAUUUUCAUUGAGUUUUAAUGUUAAAAUCUUAAACAGCAGUAUUAAAGAAGCUCAUAAAAAUGACUCAUCUCCAGCAGCUUUCUUCCACGUUGCCCUCCUCCCCAUAAAAAGAAUACACAUAAAGUUCUCACUCAGAGCCUAAGAACCACUUCUUACAAAUUGCUGGGAAAGAUAAAAAUCAAUAUAUUAGAGGUUUAGGGGAUUAUUUAUGCCUAGGAUUGCAGCAUCUGAUGCACGGACUCAGAUGUGAAGAAUCCAAACCCUUUAUUACAAGUUCUCACAUCACUUAUAUACCCUCACAGGUUUUCUUUUUCUAGCUUUCCCAUCUGCCCCUACAACUUUCCCAUUCACCUUUACAUGUCAACAAAGCAUUCUACAAACACUCUUCAACCGUUCAUGCGGGUGCUUAUCCAAUCAGAGCUGUGAGCCAUUCUUUCUUAUUUUAGAGGUGUCCUUGGUUCUCAUGCUGUUUAUCUUGCUACACAGCUGAUGCUCUGAACAGUUUUUCUUGUAUUCCCACAUAGGAUGAUUACCAUUAGAAAAAACAGUAGAAUAUUUUUUUUUCCCCAAUUGAAUGUGACAUGUAUUCAGUACAGUUACGUAUUUAAAUUUCUAUUGAAAC